rnacentral:rRNA from 1 species
GACGAACGCUGGCGGCGUGCUUAACACAUGCAAGUCGAACGGAAAGGCCCUGCUUUUGUGGGGUGCUCGAGUGGCGAACGGGUGAGUAACACGUGAGUAACCUGCCCUUGACUUUGGGAUAACUUCAGGAAACUGGGGCUAAUACCGGAUAGGAGCUCCUGCUGCAUGGUGGGGGUUGGAAAGUUUCGGCGGUUGGGGAUGGACUCGCGGCUUAUCAGCUUGUUGGUGGGGUAGUGGCUUACCAAGGCUUUGACGGGUAGCCGGCCUGAGAGGGUGACCGGCGACAUUGGGACUGAGAUACGGCCCAGACUCCUACGGGAGGCAGCAGUGGGGAAUAUUGCACAGUGGGCGGAAGCCUGAUGAAGCAACGCCGCGUGCGGGAUGACGGCCUUCGGGUUGUAAACCGCUUUCGCCUGUGACGAAGCGUGAGUGACGGUAAUGGGUAAAGAAGCACCGGCUAACUACGUG